UACGUAGGGUGCGAGCGUUAAUCGGAAUUACUGGGCGUAAAGCGUGCGCAGGCGGUUUUGUAAGCCAGAUGUGAAAUCCCCGGGCUCAACCUGGGAAUGGCAUUUGGGACUGCAAGGCUGGAGUACGGCAGAGGAGACUGGAAUUCCUGGUGUAGCAGUGAAAUGCGUAGAUAUCAGGAGGAAUACCGAUGGCAAAGGCAGGUCUCUGGGCUGAUACUGACGCUCAUGCACGAAAGCGUGGGGAGCAAACAGG
rnacentral:rRNA from 1 species